rnacentral:rRNA from 1 species
CCUACGGGAGGCAGCAGUGAGGAAUAUUGGUCAAUGGCCGAGAGGCUGAACCAGCCAAGUCGCGUGAGGGAAGAAUGUCCUAUGGAUUGUAAACCUCUUUUGUCAGGGAGCAAAGUCACCCACUUGUGGGGGUUGGAGAGUACCUGAAGAAAGAGCAUCGGCUAACUCUGUGCCAGCAGCCGCGGUAAUACGGAGGAUGCGAGCGUUAUCAGGAUUUAUUGGGUUUAAAGGGAGCGUAGAUGGGUUGGUAAGUCAGUUGUGAAAGUUUGCGGCUCAACCGUAAAAUUGCAAUUGAUACUGGGAGUCUUGAGUACAGUUGAGGUAGGCGGAAUUCGUGGUGUAGCGGUGAAAUGCGUAGAUAUCACGAAGAACUCCGAUUGCGAAGGCAGCUUACUAAACUGCCACUGACAUUGAUGCUCGAAAGUGUGGGUAUCAAACAGGAUUAGAUACCCUGGUAGUC